UACGAAGGGUGCAAGCGUUAUCCGGAUUCACUGGGUUUAAAGGGUGCGUAGGAGGGCAGGUAAGUCAGUGGUGAAAUCCCCGAGCUUAACUUGGGAACUGCCGUUGAUACUAUCUGUCUUGAAUACCGUGGAGGUGAGCGGAAUAUGGUCAUGUAGCGGUGAAAUGCUUAGAUAUGACAUAGAACACCAAUUGCGAAGGCAGCUCGCUACACGAAUAUUGACUCUGAGGCACGAAAGCGUGGGGAUCAAACAGG
rnacentral:rRNA from 1 species